rnacentral:misc_RNA from 1 species
CAGAGUUCGUGCCCGCAAGGGUAGAUCUCCCACCCGUGUCUUGUAACAUUGUUGCUUUGGGGGGCCCGCCCCCCAGAGACCAAACCCUGAAGCGAGUGUCGUCAGAGUACUAUACAAUAGUUA